UGGCUGGAGAUUGCAGGUCUGUCACUGCUGCUAAUUAGGAAGAAUAAUGAUGACAUCUAUUCACAUUUUAUUUAUUUUCUUGUGGCUGCAGCUGGACUGUGUAAGAAGAGGAGAGAAUGUGGGGCUGCAUCCUCCUACCCUGAAUGUCCAGGAAGGAGACACCUCUGUUAUCAACUGUUCUUACUCAAACAGCAACUCAGACUACUUCCCUUGGUAUAAGCAAGUGCUUGGAAAAGGUCCUGAAUUCAUCACAGACAUUCGUUCAAAUAGCAACGAAAAACGCGAAGGAAGAUUCACCGUUUUAUUAAAUAAGACGGCCAAACAUCUCUCCCUGCGCAUUGCAGGCACCCGACCUGGAGACUCAGCUGUCUACUUCUGUGCAGAGAAUACACAUUGCUUCCCAGGCACCUGUAACCUAUACCCAAACCUGAGACUGGAGCUGAAGCCACACUGCCUUUCCUUUGGCAUAGACCUUCAAUUUACAUAGUAUAAAGGGAACAGUCAGAUGAAGAGAUGCAUAGGGCAAGGUACAGAGGAAGGGGCGCUGAACUUCCAUGCCCUCUCUGGCCCUGUCACCGUCCCUGUGUUCAGCAAUCAGGAAGCUCCACAUAGUGGAUUUUUGGAGGGAAUUAGUGAAGCUUUAUUUUUAAAUGCAGGUUUUAAAGAUGACUUUACCUUUGCUAUUCAGACUCCUCUCCUGUAAAUAUCCCCUCAGUAUCAAUAUCACAAUCCCUACUACAGAUGGACUUUCAACUCUUACCUUUCAAAAAUUGCUUUUCUUAUUGUUUUCUGAUUGCACAUUACAUGACAAAUAUAGAAAACAUGAAAUUGAUAAUUCUGUGCCCAGAUAAGUUUUUGCUAAAGUUUGGUUAAUUUCUUCAUAGGUUCUUAUUAUUAUUAUGAUCAUGAUUUUUUACUGAAUACUACAUCUUGAAUUUAGCAUUUCUCAGUUCAUCAAAUCUUCUCAAACACAUGCUGUUUAAUAGCUCCAUGAGAGAUUUCCGUAAGUCACAGUCAUUUUUAUAUUCUCACUCUCUAUACUGGUUGUAAAAUUUGACAGCCCUUUCUACCUGCUGUUUCUUGUUGAGAAAAUGUGGCUUAGGUUUUCCUUUAGAGUCUAUUUAGGAUAGAUACAGUUUGUUUGAGGGAAAUUAAGAUAGAAAAUGAUCUGAGAAUGAGAGUUUCAGAUUAAACUCACCAAUCUAUUCUUCUUUUUCAAAAUACUAUUAGUAUCAGUUCAUAUUUACUCUCUCAUAGAAAUAAGAGGGGGAGAUGUGAGUUUUAAUCACUGCUGGAUCUGCAGAACCUAGCACAAGCUUUUUCACAUAAUGAAUAAUCAGUAGAUGUUUUCUAAAGAAAGAAGGAAAAAGUGAAUUAUGCUAUAUUCAAAGUUUUGAUUUAGACUUUGUGGUUGAAUGAAACUUAUAAAUUGAUUUGUGAAGAAUAAAACUCUUUAAAAACUAUA